UAAAAUAUUAGUUCGGGUGUAUGUGUUGUGGGCAUUAGAAUAAAACGAGUAGUCUCAGUCUGUGGGGUGUAGUAUUCUCCCAGCUGUCUUGGAGAUUGAAGAGGGACAUGGUUUGGUUAAGUGAUUUGCAGUGUUUUUGGAUACAUUUCUUUCGUCUACCUGUCAGGGGAGCGGUAGUAUCCAGGGAAGGGGAUUGAAUGAAGUUGAAGUCACCCCCCAUUAUAAGUCCCCCAAGUUUAUAUUGGUCUACCUUGUUCAGGAGGGUGGUAAGGAAUGCGGGUUGGUUAUCGUUUGGGAAAUAUGUGGCCACUAACGUAUACUGUAAGUUGUUAAAGAGGCCUACUAUGAUAACAUAUCUACCUUUGUCGUCUAUGCAGCUCUGUUGUAGGGUAAAUGCUACAUCCUUGUGAAUGAGGAUGGAGACCCCUUUUGUUUUUGAGUCUGGCAUGGUAUUGCAUGGGGUAAAAUUUCGUGAAUAUGGCUGGCUCUCUGGGCUUUUUAAAAUGCGUUUCCUGUAUGCAUGCAAUUGCUACAGAGCGUUUUUUUGAGAUCCUGCAGCAACAGUC